UUCCCCGGGCCCAAUAACCAUGCAAGUCGAACGGUAGCACAGAGASCUUGCUCUCGGGUGACGAGUGGCGGACGGGUGAGUAAUGUCUGGGAAACUGCCUGAUGGAGGGGGAUAACUACUGGAAACGGUAGCUAAUACCGCAUAAUGUCGCAAGACCAAAGAGGGGGACCUUCGGGCCUCUUGCCAUCAGAUGUGCCCAGAUGGGAUUAGCUAGUAGGUGGGGUAACGGCUCACCUAGGCGACGAUCCCUAGCUGGUCUGAGAGGAUGACCAGCCACACUGGAACUGAGACACGGUCCAGACUCCUACGGGAGGCAGCAGUGGGGAAUAUUGCACAAUGGGCGCAAGCCUGAUGCAGCCAUGCCGCGUGUAUGAAGAAGGCCUUCGGGUUGUAAAGUACUUUCAGCGGGGAGGAAGGUGUUGUGGUUAAUAACCGCAGCAAUUGACGUUACCCGCAGAAGAAGCACCGGCUAACUCCGUGCCAGCAGCCGCGGUAAUACGGAGGGUGCAAGCGUUAAUCGGAAUUACUGGGCGUAAAGCGCACGCAGGCGGUCUGUCAAGUCGGAUGUGAAAUCCCCGGGCUCAACCUGGGAACUGCAUUCGAAACUGGCAGGCUGGAGUCUUGUAGAGGGGGGUAGAAUUCCAGGUGUAGCGGUGAAAUGCGUAGAGAUCUGGAGGAAUACCGGUGGCGAAGGCGGCCCCCCUGGACAAAGACUGACGYUCAGGUGCGAAAGCGUGSSGAGCAAACAGGAUUARRAUACCMUSKAA
rnacentral:rRNA from 1 species